AUAAAGGUAAACAACAAAAUAGAAAUGCAAACCAAGUUUUAUAGUGGUUCGAUCGUCGCGAGCUACGUCCACUCCCGAUUCCUCUUCCAUCAAGGCCAUCAACAUUCACUAACAAUCUUCUUUCCAAUGGGAGAAGAUCAACUACUCUUACAACUCUAUCUUCUUUUCACAAGCUCAGGAGAGAACCUUCACGCCCCUCUUUUACAAGUGUUCCCUUAC
rnacentral:lncRNA from 1 species